UACAGAGGGGGCAAGCGUUGUUCGGAAUUACUGGGCAUAAAGGGCGCGUAGGCGGCCUGCUAAGUCGAACGUGAAAUCCCUGGGCUCAACCCAGGAACUGCGUCCGAUACUGGUUGGCUUGAAUCCGGGAGAGGGAUGUGGAAUUCCAGGUGUAGCGGUGAAAUGCGUAGAUAUCUGGAGGAACACCGGUGGCGAAGGCGGCAUCCUGGACCAUGACUGACGCUGAGGAGCGAAAGCCAGGGGAGCAAACGGG
rnacentral:rRNA from 1 species